rnacentral:lncRNA from 1 species
AAAUCCUAACUCUCCUCACCAAAAAUUAAAAAUAAAAUAAAAAUUAAAAAAUCCCUAUAUAGAAGUCUCCUAAUAUUGAAACCUGAGAAAACUAGGGCUUUAAUCUGUCAGGGUUAUUGGGAUACAAGUUUUUCAAGCAUAUGAUCUCUUCUCACAACGACUAUGCUGUAAGACGGAAUAAUAAUGGAGUUGUUUUAAAGAUUAUGUGACUCAAAGUGUUAAGUAUAAAACAUAUAGAAUGGCCUUUAACAUGUUCGAAGAGCUCGAUAAUGAUAAUUGUGGGUAUUUUAUGCCUCAGUGAAUGGUAGUGGUUAUUAUGAAGCUACAAGAAAAGUCAUUCACUUUAAACAUACCAGAAAUUUGAGUUAGAUACAAUAGGAAAAUAUUACAAUUAUUUUUAGGUAAGAAACCACCCUUAUUUAGAAAAACAUCUAGAUGGGUGCUUUUAGUAUUAUGAAAGCCAAAGUAUUCUGAAUGUAAUCCAGGAGAAUAGAAUGCUCUGAAUAAUACAGAAAUACAUCUAAGAGUUUCCUUCAGGCAACUGGAAUAGGAGGAGGUUUUUGUGAAGAUGAACAAGACCCUGGGAGUAGAGAGGGCUCACCUAUCAUGCAAAGAACAGAGGCCAGAUAAGAAUAUGGGUCAGUGAUAUAUCCUUCAACACAGAGAAAAUAAGAAAACAAAUCCUGAUAAUGAAAACGAUAAGUUGUUCUGUGUUCAGUGCUGUGCUAUGCACCCCUCUGUUAUCAAAUUUUUAAUCCUAAUUAUUUUAAAUUCUAAAAUGUUAGUAGAAGGAGACUCCCAUCAACAAUCUUAUUUUAGCGGUGUUAUGGGGAAUCAUGUAUAAGAAGUCAGUGUUCAGCUCAGGACAAACAGCUCAGUUUUCAAUAACGCAUGUUCAGAUCAGGCAACAUAGAGAAGCAGAAGCCAGAUGGGGAAUGAUUUAGCAGAAAUAUGAGACAAAUUUCUUUCUCUCCAAAUACACUAAAAGAAGGGGAAUGGUGUGUUUGUUCAUGUGUUUGUUUUUGAAGGGGGAUAAGGCAGAGGGAGUUGUUGAUUCCUGACCUCGCAUGUAUUCUGUUACAGAGAUUAGACCUAUCUAGAGAGUAGGUGUUAUUAUUUUAAAUGAUUCAUCUUAUGAUGAUGAUGAUGAUGAUGACUGCUUUCAUUUUUAUCAUUUCCAGAUGAUCUACCUUAUUUUGGAAUUAAGAAACACUUGAAGAUUAUUCUCAGAAAUGCCAUAAGGGAUAUUUAAAAAUCUUGGAGCACACAAGAAGUACAAGAGGAAUGAAAAUGUCAUGUCUUAAUUUUCCAAAAAAGAGAAUAUUUUAGUUUUUAGUAUAUAAAGGCAGAUUAACAAACCUUCACACAAAUCUAAAUUUUAUUACUAAAUUAAUUGAUUACACUUUGUGUUUACUAGGUCACAGGGAAUUUCAGUGGGUUUACUCUGCAAAAGAUUUCAUGUGAAAUACAUUUUUCUAUUCUGAAAGGUUUUUCAAGAUUUUCAAGGCAACUAAGAAGUUUUCUAAAAAGACAGUGUUUGUAAUACAGGCUCUAUAGAAAGCAUCGUUGUGGAGGCCUCAGGAAACUUACAAUCAUGGCAGAAGGCGAAGGGAAGCAGGCACAUCUUACGUGGCUGGAGAAGGAGGAAGAGAGAGCAGAGGAAGGUGCUACACAUUUUUAAACAACCGGAUCUCAUGAGAACUCACUCACUAUCACAAGAACAGCAGGGAAAUCCACCCCCAUGAUUCUAUCACCUCCCACUAGCCCUCUCCUCCUUCAACACUGGGGAUUACAACUCCACAUAAGGUUUGGGCAGGGACACACAUCCAAACCAUAUCAUCACUAAUUAAUGUUUCUGAAAGCUAGAGUUACAUUACAACCACCUGAGGAGCUUUUAGAAAAUUACAGAUCCCUGAGCUUCCAUCUAGAUUGAUUAAAUAAAAAUAUCUGGGCUUGAAUUCCUCGAGUUUGCAUUUUUUAAACUUUGUCAGUGAUUCUGAUGGUCAAUGAGUUUUGAGAACCACCGCUCUAAACCUUUCUGAAAUUUCUUCUUGUUCUAUAAAGUGAGGAUAAUAAUAUGAUAAGGAUAUCUCUGUCACAAUUUGAUGUAAGACAUAUAAAUAACUUAACCUAAAUCAGGUUCUCAGCACUGUAUCAGCUUAUAGAAGUAGAACGAGUAUGCAUUUUGCAAAUGAGUUCCUAAUCUAGCUGCAGUAUUUCCUAGGUCUGUCACAGUCAAGUCAUAGGACUUUGGAGAUUCAGUUUCCUCAUUUCUCAUAGGACCUUGGAGCCUCAGUUUUUCU